rnacentral:rRNA from 1 species
UACGUAGGGCGCAAGCGUUGUCCGGAAUUAUUGGGCGUAAAGAGCUCGUAGGUGGUGUGUCACGUCUGCCGUGAAAACCCGAGGCUUAACCUCGUGGCUUGCGGUGGAUACGGGCAGACUAGAGGUAGGUAGGGGAGAAUGGAAUUCCCGGUGUAGCGGUGAAAUGCGCAGAUAUCGGGAGGAACACCGGUGGCGAAGGCGGUUCUCUGGGCCUUACCUGACGCUGAGGAGCGAAAGCGUGGGGAGCGAACAGG